rnacentral:misc_RNA from 1 species
GAAACCCUCUCACAAAAUAAUUUUUGUUAAUUAUUUAGUGGAUGUUGAGUGUUGCUGUCAUUAGCUCACUUUAAAUAUAUCAGUCACUUUUUUUUUUUUUUUUCAAAUAAGUUGGAUUGACUUGGUGUAAUAAUUUUUUCAUCAAGGAAAGUAGCAAUACUUGCCAGCUUUUGUUUUGAAAAAAAAAAAAAAAGAAGACUUCUAAAAACCCAAAAUUAAUCUUU